CAUAUCUUUAAUGUUACUUAUAUUUCUGUGAAAAAUAUUUUUAGUACUUACCAGAAUUGUUUGCACUAUAAUGGAUUAUUUUUUUCCAUUUAAAAACACUAAAACACUCUGUUUGUCUCAUUUGCAGUGCAAUUUGGAAAAUGCAGGAAGGAUAUUGCAACGUUCUCACAUAUGUCCCGUACUCAUUUUCCUGCAGAGUAUUGGAAAUCUGUUUCAAAAUCUGUUGCUUUGGCUGACCUUUGGGAAGGCUCCAUUGGUGUGUUCUGUGUACUGUGUUACUAAUCCUGCGGCAACUCUUGAGGCUACAGAUCACUUCAAGCAGCUAACAGGAAAAGUCAAUGAAAAACAGCAAGGUAAACACAUAAUGUGCUAGAAACUCAUAGUGAAACUAAAGGAUGUCUGGCUCGGAACGGUGUAGAAGAGCAAAAGGCAUUGUACUGCAGUAAAACUUAAAGUUUGGGUGAAUUGCAGAGAAUGGGAUUUCCUUCCUUUCCACCAGAGCUCAAGCUCACGCCAUCAUCAUCUCCUCCACCUCCAGACAGACUCCAGCGCUUUAUGAGGUGGUUUGACAUGACAUGGAAGAGGAGCUGAAUUAUUGUUAGC
rnacentral:lncRNA from 1 species